UACGUAGGGAGCAAGCGUUGUCCGGAAUCAUUGGGCGUAAAGAGCGUGUAGGCGGCUAUUUAAGUCCUGCGUGAAAUCCUGCGGCUCAACCGCAGACGGUCGUGGGAAACUGGAUGGCUAGAGUGCGGGAGAGGAGAGUGGAAUUCCCGGUGUAGCGGUGAAAUUCGUAGAUAUUGGGAAGAACACCGGUGGCGAAGGCGGCUCUCUGGACCGAUACUGACGCUGAGGCGCGAAAGCGUGGGGAGCAAACAGG
rnacentral:rRNA from 1 species